UGCCAGCAGCCGCGGUAACACGAACCGUGCGAACGUUAUUCGGAAUUACUGGGCGUAAAGCGCACGUAGGCGGCAAUGUAAGUUGGGGGUGAAAUCCCGGGGCUCAACCCCGGAACUGCCUCCAAAACUACAUAGCUAGAGGAUGUGAGAGGAUAGUGGAAUUCCGAGUGUAGAGGUGAAAUUCGUAGAUAUUCGGAAGAACACCAGUGGCGAAGGCGACUGUCUGGCACAUUUCUGACGCUGAGGUGCGAAAGCGUGGGGAGCAAACAGGAUUAGAUA
rnacentral:rRNA from 1 species